UUUUCCCUUACUCCUAAUGAAACCCUAGCCGCCAUAGCCUUCACCAACAGCAGCUGAACCCCCCCCUUUUGUCUAACCAAAACCCAUCAGGAAAAAAAAAGAGAAAGAAAGGGGAAGAAGGAAGGGGACCGAGGAAGGAAGGAGAGGGGGAAAAAGAGUGAGGCGGUGCGGUGGGUGUCACUGCCACCGUCGCCGCCGCUGCUGACAGAGGAGAGAGAGGAUCUGAGAGAGAAGGAGAGUGUCGCGAGGGAGCCGCUGCGUCGCGUCGCCGUUUGCGCCAGCGCCGAGGAGGACCACGCGAGGAGGAGGCGCCACCGUCGCUGUCUUCAUCGCGUGUGGAGUCGCCGUUGCCGACAAGCCUAGCCGCCGCCUGGUUGUGUCGCCGCCAUGAAGACCUCGCCGACGUCUUCCCCUUCGCAGAUUGUCGCCGUCUUUGGAGCAGAGCGAAAGAGAUCUCACGGUGGAGGAAACAGGGAGGCGCCGCCGUGCAGCGAGAAGCUACCGCCGCCGCGAAGUUACCACCACCGUUGCGCGCUCCGUCACCGCUACUGCUGGGGCUGCGCUGCCGUGACCGAGCGUCUGCCGCUCGAAACCCGCCGCCACUGCCACUAGAAAUCGCCACCAAGGCCUAAGUCAGUUUGGACCAUCAGAGCUUCCGGCCGUUAUUAGAGCUGUUGUCCGGUCAAUUUAGAAGCUGCUACUGUGUCGUUCUAUUCUGUUUAUCCUGAUAUGUGGUUGUUGUUGUGAUUCCUGCGGUUGAUUGGGAAUUUCUGCGGUUGCUGCCGAUUAACAUGAGAAUAAGGAUUUAAUGGGUUUAAUUAUGCAACUUGCGACUAUUUGAGGAACCAAAUGAAGAGGCAUUAAGGAGAGUUAUACUGCGUUUGGUUUAUAUGUUGUUGUAUUAAUUAGAUUAUUUUCUUCCCUCGUCUUUGUUAUUAUGAAUUUGUAAGAGGGAUAGGAGUUGUAU